AGUUAAAUAAUGUCCAAUGCUAUGUUUUAGUCGUGGGUAUUUUUAGCAAAAUGCACAAACAGGUCACAGGCAGUAAACAAAAAUUCUAGACCCAUUAGCUGU